rnacentral:rRNA from 1 species
GGGGAAUAUUGGACAAUGGGCGCAAGCCUGAUCCAGCCAGACCGCGUGGGUGAAGAAGGCCUUCGGGUUGUAAAGCCCUUUUGUUGGGAAAGAAAAGCCAUGGGUUAAUACCCUGUGGUUCUGACGGUACCCAAAGAAUAAGCACCGGCUAACUUCGUGCCAGCAGCCGCGGUAAUACGAAGGGUGCAAGCGUUACUCGGAAUUACUGGGCGUAAAGCGUGCGUAGGUGGUUGAUUAAGUCUGUCGUGAAAGCCCUGGGCUCAACCUGGGAAUUGCGAUGGAAACUGGUUGACUAGAGUGUGGCAGAGGGUAGUGGAAUUCCUGGUGUAGCAGUGAAAUGCGUAGAGAUCAGGAGGAACAUCCGUGGCGAAGGCGACUGCCUGGGCCAACACUGACACUGAGGCACGACAGCGUGGGGAGCAAACA